rnacentral:rRNA from 1 species
UCCGAUUGAUCCCGUCGGACCUUACUGCUAUCGAGAUGGGACUAACCCAGGCCAGUCGAACGACCCGGACUAUGGUGGGGAGUGGCAUACUGCUCAGUAACACGUAGCUAACCUAACCUCAAGACGGAAAUAACCCCGGGAAAUUGGGGUUAAUGUCCGAUAGAUGUGAAUUUUUGGAAUGGUAUUAUGUCCAAACGUCAGUGUACUAUGUUGUAUGAACGCUUGAGGAUGGGGCUGCGGCCGAUCAGGCUGUUGGUGGGGUAAUGGCCCACCAAACCUUUGACCGGUAUGGGCUAUGAGAGUGGUAGCCCAGAGAUGGACACUGAGACAAGGGUCCAGGCCCUACGGGGCGCAGCCGGUACGAAACCUCCACAAUGCACGUAAGUGCGAUGGGGUUAUCUCGAGUGCUACCUGAAGAAGGUAGCUUUUCCAUGGUCUAAAUAGUUGUGGGAAUAAGGGGGGGGCAAGACUGGUGUCAGCUGUUGUGGUAACACCAGCCCCCCGAGUGGUAGGGAUGUUUAUUUGGCCUAAAGCGUCCGUAGCCGGCUAAGUAAAUUUCUCGUUAAAUCCAACGUUUUAAGCGUUGGGCUGCGAGAAAGACUGCUAAGCUAGAGGGUGGGAGAGGUCAGCGGUAUUCCUGGGGUAGGGGUGAAAUUUUUUGAACCCAGGAGGACCAUUAGUGGCGAAGGCUGCUGACUAGAACACGCCUGACGGUGAGGGAUGAAAGCUGGGGUAGUGAAUUGGAUUAGAUAUCUGAGUAGUCCCAGCUGUAAAUGAUGCAGACUAGGUGUUGGGUUGGCCACGUGCCGACUCAGUGCCACAGGGAAGUUAUUAAGUCUGCCGCCUGGGAAGUACGGCCGCAAGGCUGAAACUUAAAGGAAUUGGCGGGGGAGCACCACCAGGCGUGAAGCCUGCGGUUUAAUUGGAGUCAACGCCGGGAACCUUACCGGGAGCGACAGCAGAGUGAAGGUUAGGUUAAAGGUUUUUUUAGACGAGCUGAGAGGAGGUGCAUGGCCGUCGCCAGUUCGUGCCGUGAGGUGUCCUCUUAAGUGAGGUAACGAACGAGACCCGCGCCGCAUGUUGCUAACAAGUCCUAAAGGGAUGUUGAGCACUCUUGCGGGACCGCAGCCGACAAGGCUGAGGAAGGUGCGGGCAACGGCAGGUCAGUAUGCCCCGAAUCUCCCGGGCCACACGCGGGCUGCAAUGGUAGAGACAGAGGGCUGCAACCCCGAAAGGGGAAGCCAAUCCCUAAACUCUACCUCAGUUGGGAUUGAGGGCUGUAAUUUGCCCUCAUGAACAUGGAAUGCCUAGUAACUGCCAGUUAUUAUCUGGCGGUGAAUACGUUUUUGCUCCUUGCACACACUGCCCGUCGAACCACCCGAAUGAGGUUUGGGUGAGGCAUGAUCGAAUGUUGGUCGUGUCGAACCUGGGCCUCGUAAGGAGGGUUAAGUCGUAACAAGGUG